rnacentral:rRNA from 1 species
AGAGUUUGAUCCUGGCUCAGAACGAACGCUGGCGGCGCGUCUUAACCAUGCAAGUCGAGCGGCAGGCAGCAAUGCCGAGAGCGGCGGACUGGUGAGUAACACGUGGAUAACGUACCCCGCUGACCGGGACAGCCUGUAGAAAUAGAGGGUGAUACCGGAUAGAUCACUGUUUACGGAAGGUAGACAGCGGGAAAGGAGCUUCGGCUCCGCGACGGGAUCGGUCUGCGGCCCAUCAGCUAGACGGCGGGGUAAAAGCCCGCCGUGGCGAGGACGGGUAUCCGGCCUGAGAGGGCGGACGGACACAUUGGGACUGAGAUACGGCCCAGACUCCUACGGGAGGCAGCAGGUAAGAAUAUUCCGCAAUGGGGGGAACCCUGACGGAGCGACGCCGCGUGAACGAAGAAGGCCGGAAGGUUGUAAAGUUCUUUUCUGUCCGAGGAAUAAGUGUAGGAGGAAAUGCCGACAUGGUGACGGUAGGGCAGGAAUAAGCACCGGCUAAUUACGUGCCAGCAGCCGCGGUAACACGUAAGGUGCGAGCGUUGUUCGGAAUUAUUGGGCGUAAAGGGCAUGCAGGCGGGUCGCCAAGCUUGGUAAGAAAUACCGGGGCUCAACUCCGGAGCUAUAUUGAGAACUGGCGAGCUAGAGUUGCCGAAGGGUAUCCGGAAUUCCGUGUGAAGGGGUGAAAUCUGUAGAUAUGCGGAAGAACACCGAUGGCGAAGGCAGGAUACCGGCGGACGACUGACGCUGAGGUGCGAAGGUGCGGGGAGCAAACAGGAUUAGAUACCCUGGUAGUCCGCACAGUCAACGAUGUACACUGGGCGUGUGCGCAAGAGCGUGCGUGCCGAAGCAAACGCGAUAAGUGUACCGCCUGGGGAGUAUGCCCGCAAGGGUGAAACUCAAAGGAAUUGACGGGGGCCCGCACAAGCGGUGGAGCAUGUGGUUUAAUUCGA